CUCGAGCACAAUCCCAAUGCCAAAUACACCUAUGGAGCUUUCUGUGUCAAGAAAUGCCCACAUAACUUUGUGGUGGAUCACAGCUCUUGUGUCAAAGCCUGUCCGAGCAACAAGAUGGAGGUGGAGGAAAAUCACAUCAAGAUGUGUAUCCCAUGCACUGACAUCUGUCCGAAAAUGUGUGAUGGUAUAGGUACCGGCAGUCUUCAAAUGGCUCAAACUGUAGAUUCCAGCAACAUUGAGAUGUUUGUCAAUUGCACCAAGA